UGAUUUUUAGUUCAGUGGUAGAGCAUUUGCUCUGCAUGUAGAAGGUCCCAGGUUCAAUCCCUAAGUAUGGCUGAGAAUAUCAC